GCAUGGAUGAUGUGGGUCAAGCGACAAGCCUGUGUAAGAAACUUCCACCAACAUCUGAAUGUUGCAAUGCUGUUGAAAAGGCUGGUAAAACUUGCGUCUGCAAUCAUAUCAACUUCAAUGACAAAACCACAAAGAGUGAUGAUAAAUUUUCUUUGGAAUGCAUUGCCUUCAAUAUAGUGUGGAGGUGAGUAAAUAUAUAUAUGCAUAAUUAACAAACAUAUACACGGGUUUUUUUCUUCCAUGUUAUAUAGGUUUAACUGAUGAGAAAAUAUGUUUUUUGUUUUCAUUUUUACAGAAUAGCUGGUAAAUUCUGUAACAUUCUUCCUCCCAUUCAAUCAACCAAGAUGGAUUGAAGGAAAUCAAUAAACAAGUUGCAGUGCAAUGAAGAUUAAUUAAUUGUAUCUUUAAUUCUUCCAAUGUAACUUGUGAAUUUUUAUAAAGAUAAUUAAUAAAGAUAUUAUAUGUAGGCAUAUAUACUUAUAUCAGAUAAAUACCCAAUUUCUCUCGUGACGCUUUAGAUCGUUAGAUCCAAGAAAGAAUUGUAAGCGCCCUGAAAAUUAAGAUGACUAGGUUGGACAAGCGUUACACUCAGAAAUUUGGCGAUUUCUCAUAAGGAAUCACCAACUUAUCAGAAGUAGACGCCAAGAACUCGUGGAUGGCUAUUACAAGCGACAUCCCUUGAUAAGUUGGCGACUUCUACGAAGAAGUUGUCGAGUUCUUUAGGUUUGCUUACACUUGGUGAGGACCUUUAGUUCUCGUGCUCCGUGGGAGCUUCUGGGGGUUCCGGCGUAAAGUAAUUAAACAGGACCUUAGUUUCCGUUGAUGAAAAUGAUAAGUGUACGAUCAUGUAUCAUCAAUAGGUUCUUUUUAUUCUGAU
rnacentral:lncRNA from 1 species